AACGAACGCUGGCGGCAUGCCUAACACAUGCAAGUCGAACGAGACCUUCGGGUCUAGUGGCGCACGGGUGCGUAACACGUGGGAAUCUGCCCAUUGCUUCGGAAUAACAGUUAGAAAUGACUGCUAAUACCGGAUGAUGUCGAAAGACCAAAGAUUUAUCGGCAAAGGAUGAGCCCGCGUAGGAUUAGGUAGUUGGUGGGGUAAAGGCCUACCAAGCCGACGAUCCUUAGCUGGUCUGAGAGGAUGAUCAGCCACACUGGGACUGAGACACGGCCCAGACUCCUACGGGAGGCAGCAGUGGGGAAUAUUGGACAAUGGGCGAAAGCCUGAUCCAGCAAUGCCGCGUGAGUGAUGAAGGCCUUAGGGUUGUAAAGCUCUUUUACCAGGGAUGAUAAUGACAGUACCUGGAGAAUAAGCUCCGGCUAACUCCGUG
rnacentral:rRNA from 1 species